GAAAAACCAGGCAGCUGCUGCAGAGAAGCACAUCUAUUCCUGAUGCUGAGGCUCCCCAUGGGGCCUCAUGAGAAAGAAUUGGAAGACACAGUGGAAGGCCACCAAGAGCAUCCCCAACAACAGCCCUACCAUACACCAUAGGGAGUUUUCUGGGAUGGAGUUUCCUGGGAUGGUUCCUAUGACAUCCCAGUGCAGGCUACUGGCCAUGCCAAUGCCUGGUCCAGUGAGAACAAUUAUGGGAGACUCCAGAAUGACCUCUGCUGAGCUGGCUUACACCUAGGACAAAAAUCAGAGCAAAGAAACUGCUUUGGGAAUCCGAGGGGCCCUGCCUCUCUGGGAAUCUGAAUUCGGGCUUCUCCCCAGGUCUUGUGCCAGCUUUGCUCUUUGCUUUGGGAGGGGAGUCCCUAGGGUUUCCAGCAAAGCUGCCGUCAUUGAAGACAGAGGCACAGCACAUAGCCCAUGCACAGGCCAGGCCCAUGGUCUUCCCACUGAGACCUCUAGCCACAGAAUAGUCUCCAGUCGAGCAGAGGCUGAGGAGAAAGAGGGACUAAGUGCUGGUCCUGGGUUCACCAGUCACUGACAGUGGGAACCUCAGAAAGCCAACUCCUCUCUGUGGGCCUUAGUUCUGUCGCCUGCGAAGUGGAGCAGACGAGCUAGCAUCGGAUCUGUCCUUUUCCUGAGGAUUCUCAUGGCUGCAGAGCUCUUCAGUGCAUGGCAAGCUGAAGAGAGGCAAUGAAGCAGGGCUGGAAGCGUUGGGGUCUGUGGAAGACAUGAAAUGUACCACCCAGAUCCGCCUUCUACGGAGGGCCUUCUGCCCAGCUGCGGGUAUGGAACCAGCAGCCUGCCUCCAGCUGUUUGUUCCUUCAAAGUCUGCCACAGCUGCAGAAAGCUGCCUCCCCCAAGAUCAUGCCCUCCCAAGAUAGCCCAUGCUGUGGAUUGGGUGCAGCAGGGGAAUAAAGGCCCAGGCACUUUGUCCCUGUGCAGAUCACUCUGAACAGGUAAUAUUAGCUCCAAAGCUCCUCACAGAAUUGGCCAACAUUUGUUGAGCCUGCAUUUCAGUUAGACUUCUUUUUCUACCCAAGCCCGCUUCUUCCUUCUUCUUUGCACAGGUGUUGCUCCCAAAACCUGUCUUGGCAUCUGCUUCUGAAGAACCUAAUCUGCAGCAGAGGCCAAGCACCCAAGCACAAAGACUUGCCUGGCCUAUGACCUUUGGAACAAACACCUGAGCCACCGUGGACCCAAGAGCUAGAGAAACAACCAGCGUGGAUGGUCUGACAGCACCGCUGGCCACAGCUGCUACUCAGUGGCCGUUCAUCACAUGGAAAAGGGACAUGACCCUCUUCUCCCCAAACAGCCCCCUCUUGACUCUGUUCUUCCAGCGGAUGAUGCCAGUUUUCCAGCCACCCAAGCUCAAGAUCUCCAAGCCUCUCCCAAGUUCCUUUCCCUUCUGCUCCUAUAUCCGAACAGUUACUAAGUUUUGAAGCUCCAUCUUUGCAUACACCACCUCCCUCAUGGGCUACUGCAGCAACCCCAUGAGGACCCCUCCCUCCUUACUAUAAGAUGCUCACCCCUGGUGCAGGUCCUGUCACUGUGAUUCCUGCUCGCGCUCCCCACCAUAUGGGUCACUGCUCUGUGGAAGGAAGGAAUGACAUAUUGGAGUCACACCUGUUUCCCCGAAGUCAUUGGGAAGUGUUCGUUGCUGCUUGUUAGAAAUACCCAAACACAAACAAAAGGUGGUAAAACAAUGUGAAUUCGAUGAGAAGUUUCUGCUUCUGUUUGGAUUGAGGUCAGUGUUAUUUCCCUAGCGUAGACCCAGAAAACAGAGCACUUGUUCAACUGAGGAGAUGCCCCUGGCAUGUAAGUGAAUGUGCUUGUGUGGACAUGUGGAGGUCUCAAGAACAAAAGAAGAGCUGGGCAACUUGCUGGCACUUGAUACCCAGGUGUUUCUUAAUGUUCCUGUUGAAGAAAUAGCUGUAAAAUGCUGAAGGAAAUGCCCGCUUCCCUGUGUACAGAAGGCAGGCUGCGAAGGUGGGGCACCAUACAUUCUAGUCCAAAGAGGACUAGUAUGACCUCCCCAUUAGGCCACACGAAUCCCACAGCUGUGUGCGUGUAGCCAAGAUGUCAGCAAGGUGAGACCCCACACAAAUACUCCAAAAUGUGCUGGAAAGAGGGAGGGAUGGAAUAUCAACCAUUCUAUUUGGCAUCAUUCUCUGCUAAGAGAACAGGCUUGGCCUCUCUUUUUCAGAAACCAAGAAAGGGCUUUGCUGCCUUUGCUAUGUUUUCC
rnacentral:lncRNA from 10 species